rnacentral:rRNA from 1 species
AGUGAACGCUGGCGGCAGGCCUAACACAUGCAAGUCGAGCGGCAGCGCGGGGCAACCUGGCGGCGAGCGGCGGACGGGUGAGGAAUGCAUCGGAAUCUACCCUGUCGUGGGGGAUAACGUAGGGAAACUUACGCUAAUACCGCAUGCGCCCUUCGGGGGAAAGUCGGGGACCGCAAGGCCUGACGCGAUUGGAUGAGCCCAUGUUCGAUUAGCUAGUUGGCGGGGUAACGGCCCACCAAGGCGACGAUCGAUAGCUGGUCUGAGAGGAUGAUCAGCCACACUGGAACUGAGACACGGUCCAGACUCCUACGGGAGGCAGCAGUAGGGAAUAUUGGACAAUGGGCGCAAGCCUGAUCCAGCCAUGCCGCGUGAGUGAAGAAGGCCCUCGGGUUGUAAAGCUCUUUUGUUGGGGAAGAAAAGCAGUUGGUUAAUACCCGAUUGUUCUGACGGUACCCAAAGAAUAAGCACCGGCUAACUUCGUGCCAGCAGCCGCGGU